rnacentral:rRNA from 1 species
UGGGGAAUAUUGCACAAUGGGCGCAAGCCUGAUGCAGCGACGCCGCGUGCGGGAUGGAGGGCCUUCGGGUUGUAAACCGCUUUUGUUCAAGGGCAAGGCAGGCUUUCGGGCCUGUUGAGUGGAUUGUUCGAAUAAGCACCGGCUAACUACGUGCC